rnacentral:rRNA from 1 species
GAUGAACGCUGGCGGCGUGCCUAAUACAUGCAAGUCGAGCGAACAGACGAGGAGCUUGCUCCUCUGACGUUAGCGGCGGACGGGUGAGUAACACGUGGAUAACCUACCUAUAAGACUGGGAUAACUUCGGGAAACCGGAGCUAAUACCGGAUAAUAUAUUGAACCGCAUGGUUCAAUAGUGAAAGACGGUUUUGCUGUCACUUAUAGAUGGAUCCGCGCCGCAUUAGCUAGCUGGUAAGGUAACGGCUUACCAAGGCAACGAUGCGUAGCCGACCUGAGAGGGUGAUCGGCCACACUGGAACUGAGACACGGUCCAGACUCCUACGGGAGGCAGCAGUAGGGAAUCUUCCGCAAUGGGCGAAAGCCUGACGGAGCAACGCCGCGUGAGUGAUGAAGGUCUUCGGAUCGUAAAACUCUGUUAUUAGGGAAGAACAAAUGUGUAAGUAACUAUGCACGUCUUGACGGUACCUAAUCAGAAAGCCGCGGCUAACUACGUG